CACACAUUUUUUUAUUUUAUUUUUUAGAAAUGACACUUGAUGAAGUUAUUAAGCAAUCCAAAUGAUUCUUUUAAACCAGCAUUAAAAUGGAGGGAAAAAAAUGUAGAAUUAAUUUGCCAUUUUCAAAACUUGCUUUUUUUUUUAUCACCUCUUUAUAGGGAAGGCUAUUUCUGUAUUAAUCUUAAAGGUAAUGGACUUUAGCUGUUGCAUAUGAUUAUGAAAAAAAAAAACAAACAAAAAAAAACAUUUUUAGCAACUGUAUACAUUCUACAAUUAAGAAAAAAAUAAUAAUGAAAAAGACGAACUCAAAAUGAGUUCCGUUUUAUCGGUUUUCUUUGUAAUAAAUUUCAAGGGAAAAAACCCCCAAACAUCUAUAGGCAACCUUGGGUACUCCAGAUGUUGUGGACUAUAUCCUGAUACAAUGCCAGCAUGACGGCUGUAAGAGCAUUUAAGGGAGAAGUAGUUCACAAAAUCGGGACCUCCAAAGUUGGCCAACCGCUGCCCUAUACCAACAAUUGGUACUGCAAUAUUCUUCAGUUUUAACAGGACACUGUGACGCUAAGAAGAAGCAAUAAAGGACCAAAUGUACCUUUAAAUUUCUAUAGGUUAUAUAAGAAAUAUAGAAUUUCACAAGCUAUAUUUCUUCCAAUGACUAAGUGAUAUGGUUUAACACACUGGAGUGUUGGG